GCCGCUAUGGUGAAAUUGGUAGACAAGCUGCUCUUAGGAAGCAGUGCUAAUGCAUCUCGGUUCGAGUCCGAGUGGCGACA
rnacentral:tRNA from 1 species